UUCCUUAUUUGCAACUAAUAUAUUUUAUCAUAAUAUCUUUUGAUUUAAAAGAUUAAUAUUUCUAAUUAAUUUAAUCCACCAUGCUUUUGCUGCGCACUCUGAUCUUAAUUUAUCAAAUUAUAUAAGUCUAUCAAAGAUAAAAUAUCCUUGUAUGUUAGAUCAAUCCAGGAUAGAUCCAACCUUCAAAUUUCAUAUAAGACUUA
rnacentral:lncRNA from 1 species